UAGUGUGUAUAUAAUGCAGUGUGUUUGUGUAGUGUGCAUUAUAUAAACACACUACACAAACACACUGCAUUAUAUACACACUAU